GCAAGUCGAACGAGAUGCUUUUCUUCGGAAGAGUUAUCUAGUGGCGGACGGGUGCGUAACACGUGGGAAUCUACCUUAUAGUGGGGGAUAACUUCUGGAAACGGGAGCUAAUACCGCAUACGCCCUUCGGGGGAAAGAUUUAUCGCUAUAAGAUGAGCCCGCGGUGGAUUAGAUAGUUGGUGAGGUAAAGGCUCACCAAGUCUACGAUCUAUAGCUGGUCUGAGAGGAUGACC
rnacentral:rRNA from 1 species